AUUGAACGCUGGCGGCAGGCUUAACACAUGCAAGUCGAGCGGGGGGAGGUAGCUUGCUACCGGACCUAGCGGCGGACGGGUGAGUAAUGCUUAGGAAUCUGCCUAUUAGUGGGGGACAACAUCUCGAAAGGGAUGCUAAUAGCGCAUACGUUCUACGGGAGAAAGCAGGGGAUCUUCGGACCUUGCGCUAAUAGAUGAGCCUAAGUCGGAUUAGCUAGUUGGUGGGGUAAAGGCCUACCAAGGCGACGAUCUGUAGCGGGUCUGAGCGGAUGAUCCGCCACACUGGGACUGAGACACGGCCCAGGCUCCUACGGGAGGCAGCAGUGGGGAAUAUUGGACAAUGGGGGGAACCCUGAUCCAGCCAUGCCGCGUGUGUGAAGAAGGCCUUAUGGUUGUAAGGCACUUUAAGCGAGGAGGAGGCUCUUUUGGUUAAUACCCAAGAUGAGUGGACGUUACUCGCAGAAUAAGCACCGGCUAACUCUGUGCCAGCCGCCGCAGUAA
rnacentral:rRNA from 1 species